UACGUAGGUGGCGAGCGUUAUCCGGAAUGAUUGGGCGUAAAGGGUGCGUAGGCGGCCUGCUAAGUCUGGAGUGAAAGGUACCGGCUCAACCGGUACAGGCUCUGGAAACUGGCUGUCUUGAGAUGUCGAGAGGUAUGCGGAAUGCGCAGUGUAGCGGUGAAAUGCCUAGAUAUUGCGCAGAACUCCGAUUGCGAAGGCAGCAUACCGGCGGCCUACUGACGCUGAGGCACGAAAGUGCGGGUAUCGAACAGG
rnacentral:rRNA from 1 species